rnacentral:rRNA from 1 species
UACAGAGGUCUCAAGCGUUGUUCGGAUUCAUUGGGCGUAAAGGGUGUGUAGGUGGCGCGCUAAGUCGGGUGUGAAAUUUCGGAGCUUAACUCCGAAACUGCAUUCGAUACUGGCGUGCUCGAGGACUGGAGAGGAGACUGGAAUUCAUGGUGUAGCAGUGAGAUGCGUAGAGAUCAUGAGGAAGACCAGUGGCGAAGGCGGGUCUCUGGACAGUUCCUGACACUGAGACACGAAGGCCAGGGGAGCAAACGGG